UUUGUUGCCAGCGCGUAAUGGCGGGAACUCAAAGGAGACUGCCGGUGAUAAACCGGAGGAAGGUGGGGAUGACGUCAAGUCAUCAUGGCCCUUACGAGUAGGGCUACACACGUGCUACAAUGGCAUAUACAAAGAGAAGCGAACUCGCGAGAGCAAGCGGACCUCAUAAAGUAUGUCGUAGUCCGGAUCGGAGUCUGCAACUCGACUCCGUGAAGUCGGAAUCGCUAGUAAUCGUAGAUCAGAAUGCUACGGUGAAUACGUUCCCGGGCCUUGUACACACCGCCCGUCACACCAUGGGAGUGGGUUGCAAAAGAAGUAGGUAGCUUAACCUUCGGGAGGGCGCUUACCACUUUGUGAUUCAUGACUGGGG
rnacentral:rRNA from 1 species